CUGUGAGCUCGAUGAGUAGGGCGGGACACGUGGUAUCCUGUCUGAAUAUGGGGGGACCAUCCUCCAAGGCUAAAUACUCCUGACUGACCGAUAGUGAACCAGUACCGUGAGGGAAAGGCGAAAAGAACCCCGGCGAGGGGAGUGAAAAAGAACCUGAAACCGUGUACGUACAAGCAGUGGGAGCACGCUUAGGCGUGUGACUGCGUACCUUUUGUAUAAUGGGUCAGCGACUUAUAUUCUGUAGCAAGGUUAACCGAAUAGGGGAGCCGAAGGGAAACCGAGUCUUAACUGGGCGUUAAGUUGCAGGGUAUAGACCCGAAACCCGGUGAUCUAGCCAUGGGCAGGUUGAAGGUUGGGUAACACUAACUGGAGGACCGAACCGACUAAUGUUGAAAAAUUAGCGGAUGACUUGUGGCUGGGGGUGAAAGGCCAAUCAAACCGGGAGAUAGCUGGUUCUCCCCGAAAGCUAUUUAGGUAGCGCCUCGUGAAUUCAUCUCCGGGGGUAGAGCACUGUUUCGGCAAGGGGGUCAUCCCGACUUACCAACCCGAUGCAAACUGCGAAUACCGGAGAAUGUUAUCACGGGAGACACACGGCGGGUGCUAACGUCCGUCGUGAAGAGGGAAACAACCCAGACCGCCAGCUAAGGUCCCAAAGUCAUGGUUAAGUGGGAAACGAUGUGGGAAGGCCCAGACAGCCAGGAUGUUGGCUUAGAAGCAGCCAUCAUUUAAAGAAAGCGUAAUAGCUCACUGGUCGAGUCGGCCUGCGCGGAAGAUGUAACGGGGCUAAACCAUGCACCGAAGCUGCGGCAGCGACGCUUAUGCGUUGUUGGGUAGGGGAGCGUUCUGUAAGCCUGUGAAGGUGUACUGUGAGGUAUGCUGGAGGUAUCAGAAGUGCGAAUGCUGACAUAAGUAACGAUAAAGCGGGUGAAAAGCCCGCUCGCCGGAAGACCAAGGGUUCCUGUCCAACGUUAAUCGGGGCAGGGUGAGUCGACCCCUAAGGCGAGGCCGAAAGGCGUAGUCGAUGGGAAACAGGUUAAUAUUCCUGUACUUGGUGUUACUGCGAAGGGGGGACGGAGAAGGCUAUGUUGGCCGGGCGACGGUUGUCCCGGUUUAAGCGUGUAGGCUGGUUUUCCAGGCAAAUCCGGAAAAUCAAGGCUGAGGCGUGAUGACGAGGCACUACGGUGCUGAAGCAACAAAUGCCCUGCUUCCAGGAAAAGCCUCUAAGCAUCAGGUAACAUCAAAUCGUACCCCAAACCGACACAGGUGGUCAGGUAGAGAAUACCAAGGCGCUUGAGAGAACUCGGGUGAAGGAACUAGGCAAAAUGGUGCCGUAACUUCGGGAGAAGGCACGCUGAUAUGUAGGUGAAGUCCCUCGCGGAUGGAGCUGAAAUCAGUCGAAGAUACCAGCUGGCUGCAACUGUUUAUUAAAAACACAGCACUGUGCAAACACGAAAGUGGACGUAUACGGUGUGACGCCUGCCCGGUGCCGGAAGGUUAAUUGAUGGGGUUAGCGCAAGCGAAGCUCUUGAUCGAAGCCCCGGUAAACGGCGGCCGUAACUAUAACGGUCCUAAGGUAGCGAAAUUCCUUGUCGGGUAAGUUCCGACCUGCACGAAUGGCGUAAUGAUGGCCAGGCUGUCUCCACCCGAGACUCAGUGAAAUUGAACUCGCUGUGAAGAUGCAGUGUACCCGCGGCAAGACGGAAAGACCCCGUGAACCUUUACUAUAGCUUGACACUGAACAUUGAGCCUUGAUGUGUAGGAUAGGUGGGAGGCUUUGAAGUGUGGACGCCAGUCUGCAUGGAGCCGACCUUGAAAUACCACCCUUUAAUGUUUGAUGUUCUAACGUGGACCCGUAAUCCGGGUUGCGGACAGUGUCUGGUGGGUAGUUUGACUGGGGCGGUCUCCUCCUAAAGAGUAACGGAGGAGCACGAAGGUUGGCUAAUCCUGGUCGGACAUCAGGAGGUUAGUGCAAUGGCAUAAGCCAGCUUGACUGCGAGCGUGACGGCGCGAGCAGGUGCGAAAGCAGGUCAUAGUGAUCCGGUGGUUCUGAAUGGAAGGGCCAUCGCUCAACGGAUAAAAGGUACUCCGGGGAUAACAGGCUGAUACCGCCCAAGAGUUCAUAUCGACGGCGGUGUUUGGCACCUCGAUGUCGGCUCAUCACAUCCUGGGGCUGAAGUAGGUCCCAAGGGUAUGGCUGUUCGCCAUUUAAAGUGGUACGCGAGCUGGGUUUAGAACGUCGUGAGACAGUUCGGUCCCUA
rnacentral:rRNA from 1 species